rnacentral:rRNA from 1 species
GCGGAGGAAAAGAAACCAACAGGGAUUGCCUCAGUAACGGCGAGUGAAGCGGCAACAGCUCAAAUUUGAAAUCUGGUCCCCUCUGGGGGCCCGAGUUGUAAUUUGAAGAGGAUGCUUUUGGCGAGGCGCCGUCCGAGUUCCCUGGAACGGGACGCCGCAGAGGGUGAGAGCCCCGUACGGUCGGACGCCGAGCCUCUGUAAAGCUCCUUCGACGAGUCGAGUAGUUUGGGAAUGCUGCUCAAAAUGGGAGGUAAACCCCUUCUAAAGCUAAAUACCGGCCAGAGACCGAUAGCGCACAAGUAGAGUGAUCGAAAGAUGAAAAGCACUUUGAAAAGAGAGUUAAAAAGCACGUGAAAUUGUUAAAAGGGAAGCGCUUGCGACCAGACUUGCGCCCGUCGGAUCAACCGUCGCUUGCGGCGGCGCACUCCGGCGGGCUCAGGCCAGCAUCAGUUCGCUCGGGGGGAGAAAGGCGGCGGGAAUGUAGCUCCUCGGAGUGUUAUAGCCCGCCGUGUAAUACCCUCGGGGGACUGAGGACCGCGCGUAGCAAG